rnacentral:rRNA from 1 species
AGAGUUUGAUCAUGGCUCAGAUUGAACGCUGGCGGCAGGCCUAACACAUGCAAGUCGAACGGUAACAGGAAGCAGCUUGCUGCUUUGCUGACGAGUGGCGGACGGGUGAGUAAUGUCUGGGAAACUGCCUGAUGGAGGGGGAUAACUACUGGAAACGGUAGCUAAUACCGCAUAACGUCGCAAGACCAAAGAGGGGGACCUUCGGGCCUCUUGCCAUCAGAUGUGCCCAGAUGGGAUUAGCUUGUUGGUGGGGUAACGGCUCACCAAGGCGACGAUCCCUAGCUGGUCUGAGAGGAUGACCAGCCACACUGGAACUGAGACACGGUCCAGACUCCUACGGGAGGCAGCAGUGGGGAAUAUUGCACAAUGGGCGCAAGCCUGAUGCAGCCAUGCCGCGUGUAUGAAGAAGGCCUUCGGGUUGUAAAGUACUUUCAGCGGGGAGGAAGGGAGUAAAGUUAAUACCUUUGCUCAUUGACGUUACCCGCAGAAGAAGCACCGGCUAACUCCGUGCCAGCAGCCGCGGUAAUACGGAGGGUGCAAGCGUUAAUCGGAAUUACUGGGCGUAAAGCGCACGCAGGCGGUUUGUUAAGUCAGAUGUGAAAUCCCCGGGCUCAACCUGGGAACUGCAUCUGAUACUGGCAAGCUUGAGUCUCGUAGAGGGGGGUAGAAUUCCAGGUGUAGCGGUGAAAUGCGUAGAGAUCUGGAGGAAUACCGGUGGCGAAGGCGGCCCCCUGGACGAAGACUGACGCUCAGGUGCGAAAGCGUGGGGAGCAAACAGGAUUAGAUACCCUGGUAGUCCACGCCGUAAACGAUGUCGACUUGGAGGUUGUGCCCUUGAGGCGUGGCUUCCGGAGCUAACGCGUUAAGUCGACCGCCUGGGGAGUACGGCCGCAAGGUUAAAACUCAAAUGAAUUGACGGGGGCCCGCACAAGCGGUGGAGCAUGUGGUUUAAUUCGAUGCAACGCGAAGAACCUUACCUGGUCUUGACAUCCACGGAAGUUUUCAGAGAUGAGAAUGUGCCUUCGGGAACCGUGAGACAGGUGCUGCAUGGCUGUCGUCAGCUCGUGUUGUGAAAUGUUGGGUUAAGUCCCGCAACGAGCGCAACCCUUAUCCUUUGUUGCCAGCGGUCCGGCCGGGAACUCAAAGGAGACUGCCAGUGAUAAACUGGAGGAAGGUGGGGAUGACGUCAAGUCAUCAUGGCCCUUACGACCAGGGCUACACACGUGCUACAAUGGCGCAUACAAAGAGAAGCGACCUCGCGAGAGCAAGCGGACCUCAUAAAGUGCGUCGUAGUCCGGAUUGGAGUCUGCAACUCGACUCCAUGAAGUCGGAAUCGCUAGUAAUCGUGGAUCAGAAUGCCACGGUGAAUACGUUCCCGGGCCUUGUACACACCGCCCGUCACACCAUGGGAGUGGGUUGCAAAAGAAGUAGGUAGCUUAACCUUCGGGAGGGCGCUUACCACUUUGUGAUUCAUGACUGGGGUGAAGUCGUAACAAGGUAACCGUAGGGGAACCUGCGGUUGGAUCACCU